UCUCUGAAAAAAUUCUCGCUUUUUUCUCACACUUUCCCAGAUAACCCAACCCAUCUUCAUAAGCAGAAAAUUUUCCCAUAAGAAAGUGGUUUUCCUUUCCACAAAAAUAGACAGAUUCAAUUCAACAAACGGACGGGUUCAAAGAUUUUCCCCAGAAGAUCUGAUCCUCUCUCUCUUCAAACGGGUUUUUAAUUUUGAAAUGCUUAAUAUUCUUAAUUUUAAUUUUAAUUUUUUUUUUUUGUUUUUGCAGACUACUGAGAAAAAAAUCUGACGGUGAUGAAGAAAAAAAAGGUUUGAAGAUUUUCUCUGGUGAGGGGGUUUUCCAUGCCGCCGCUGGCCGAUGGUGCCUAUGUUAGACUAAUGGGAUUUUUUUGUGCUUUCUUGGUUUUUUAUUCUAAUUGGUGUGGAAUAUCCUUUCAAAUGUAUAUGGGUCUUAGGUUUUGUUGGGGUUUACACGGAGAGUGGCUUUUGGGGCUUUGUCUUUGUGUUUUCAUCUUGAUAUUAGGCAUAUUUCUCCAUUGUGGGGUUUUACUGUUUUAGAGUCUUACCAUUAUUGACAACAUAAACAUGAUCUUCAUUGUGGACUUGAAUUAAUUUUCAUGUUCCUGUUGUUUUAAAAGAUUUUUCAUUUAUUUUCUAUGUUUCUCCUCUGAAAUUUGUGGCACAUGAAGUUUAUUGAUUAAUAUGAUCUUUCGUAAGAAAAAUAUUGUGAGAAAAGAGAAGUAGUAAUCAAGGAAACAUUUUUCAAAAACUUUUUAGAAUAGCCAAAGAAAAUGUAUCUGAAGUGUGCUGAUCAGAUUGAUUUUAGAGAUCAAAACCUUUCUCCCAUCAAAAUUUGAUAGUUUUCAUGUUUGAAGAUUACCCAUCUGGAAUUUUUGUUAUUUUCCAUCCUGUAUUGAUUAUAUAUAUUAUUAAAUGUUUGUUUCAACACCGCCACCACCAUUGUUACAUGUUUCAACUCACCAUAAUACUAUCAGCCAUACCACUCUGGCCCCUACUGCCUUUAUCAUAUGUCUGUACACCUCCUCUUAAUUGCCACAUCGACUCCCUUUUGCCACCACUGCCUCUGCCUACUUUGUAGUGCCAACCCCUCGGGCAUCAAUUUAUAAGUGCUGGAUUUAAGAGAUCUGGAAGGGUUGAAGAAGAGAUUGAGAUGCUUCAGCUCAAGCUGAAGCAUAUUGAUGAAGUUAUAGCUUUCAGUGGAAGGAGGGCGAAGACAGCUAGAUCUCAAGGGAAGAAGGUUCAAAUAAUUGUCAAACAGGAAAUUUCAAGAAUACCUGGGAACUUGGCCUGGGCUUACUUGCAGCAAAAACUGAAGUACAUUACAGGUGCCUUGAAGCAAACCAAUUCUCUGGCAUUGUUCCUCCUGAGCUCGGGGAUUUGAUCAACUUGCAGACUUUGUGAGACGCCUCAGUUCUUCAUAUUGAUGCUCUGUAAUUCUUAACUUUUCUCUUCACUUUUAACAAUUUUCUGAAGGAUUUCAGUGGUUAAUUGCUUCAAUGUUGUAAUUGCAGGAUGCUCUCCUCCAAUAGUUUGACAGGGAACUUGCCAUUAGCUUUUGCUAGGCUGAGAAACCUAAUAGAUAUGUGAGAGUAUUAUAUCCUCCUCUUUUUAUAUAUUUGCCUCUUUUUAAAGCAUAAAUAUCCACCUCUAUUUAUAUUUUCCUUUAAAUCAUAAAUAUCAACUUAUGCUUGAUCAAAAAUCAUUUUAUUGCUCAAUGCGGUAGGAUAAAUGAUAACAACUUCAGAGGAAUUAUACCUAAUUUUGUACAGAAUUGGAAACAACUGACAAGAUUGUGAGAUCUUUGUUCUUUUGAAAAAUAUCUCAAGUUCUUUGAGUUUUAAUGGUAGAUGAGUCUGAAUUUAGCAUAUAUUCUUAUUCAAAUUUAAAUUCUUGAAGAGAAAUGCACGCAAGUGGACUUGAGGGACCUAUUUCACCAAAUAUAUCUCUUAUGAAUAAUUUACUUCAGUUGUGAGUGAAAAGCCUUCUCAUAUCCAUCCAGUAGCUUGAUAUGAUGUGAGUUUGUUUUUGUAUGUGUUGGAAUUAUGAUUAAGAGAUUAAACUCAACAUUUCCUGAUAGCUUAAGUUUUUGAGAUAAUUGGUAAUUUAACAUAGUAUCAGAGCAGGAGAUCCUGAGUUCGAUCACUGUCUUCACUCUACCUUCCAUUUAAAAUAUUAAAUUCUCACUUGUUGGGCUCUCACUUAUUAAGAGGAAGUUUAGGCCCACAAGUGAGGUGGGGGGG